CCCUUAGAUGUUCUGGGCAGCACGCGCGCUACAAUGGUCUUCGCAAACGGAUGCAUUCUCGAAGGAGAAUGCCAAUCUUGGAAUCUAUGCCUUGGUCGGGACAGUUGCUUGCAAUUUUUCGACUCGAACCAGGAAUUCCUUGUAAUCGUGAUUCAUCACAUCACGAUGAAUACGUCCCUGCCCUUUGUACACACCGCCCGUCGCUCCCACCGAUCGAAGAGUUAGGUGAAUUGUUUUGAUCGAUAAGAUUUGACUAUGGUCAACUCUCGUUGUGAAAUUCUGUGAAUCUGACUGUUUAGAGGAAGUAAAAGUCGUAACA
rnacentral:rRNA from 1 species